AACCGAUAUCCCCACCAAUUCCCACCGCCAAAGGCCAUCAAAAACCCCAAAAACCCCAAUUCCCACCCCCAUCCCCAUAAAAACCAAGAUUUUGCUUGCACGGAGCCCUCCCCCCUCCCCUUCCUGCGGGCAUCCUCCUCUCCCCCGGCCCUGCCGAGGCCCCGGGGGCGGCUCCCGGUGCCCAGCGCUGGCUGCGGGUCCCCCCCCGGUACCGAGCAGCCCCCGAGGUCCCCCCCAAAUCCCCUCCCCGGGGGGGGUGGGGGGGGGGUGCGGCAGCUCCGAGCCCCGGUGCGGGGCGGGCCCGGCGCUGGGGGCGGCGGCUGCGGAGGCUGGGAGGGAGCCGGGGCUCCGCGACCUCCGCAGGGCAGCGCGGCCGCAGCGGGGCUCUGCAGGUGCCUUCGGGGGGUACCGGGGACAAACCGGGGACAAACGGGGACAGCUCCGGGCUGGGGGCACCGGGAGGGGGCGGUGGGAAUUGGGGAGGCUCAGCCGAGAGGGGGCAUCGCCCUCCCCGGGAGGCUGCCGGAGGUUGGAGGCUGGAGGGAAGGAGGGGGGGGGGGGGGCACGGUGCUGAGCCGGGUUUCCCAGCUUUGGGCUGCGGCUCCGGGGGGCUGCAGGGGCUGGGGGCGAGGCCCCGAGGGAGGCUGGGUUUGGGGAGGGGGGGACACGGGACGGAUGCUGCGGAAAUGUGCCGCAGGAAAUCCCGGGUGCGGCAGGGGUGGUGGUGGGGGGGGGCUGGAGGCCGAUACGAGCAGGAUUUGGGGUGCCCAGCGCUGCCCCGGCCCUACACGAGCAUCCCUUAAGGCUUCGUGGCUGGGAAGAGCUUUGGAGGAGAAACCUGGUCCUUGGGAGGGCCCCAAACGGCCUCCAGAGCCUCCCCUGCCUCCUCCUGCCUGGAUCCUGCUGCCUGUGCCCCAAAAUCUCCCCGGGGGCACCUUUCCCGUGGGAACCGUCACAAACCGAGGGUCCCCACGCAUUGCGGUGUCCCCAUGGGCAGUGGGGCUGAGCUCUGUGCAUCGCAGCGGGGCUUUGCCCUGGGAAGGUUUGGUUUGGUCAACGCUGCUCUCGCCCACAGUGGGACCCGAGGCUGCUCUGGACCUCCCCACGGCAGCCCACACCAUCACAGGGGGGCUUGGGACAAGGGGGAGCCUCCUUAGCCAGGCAAGGUGGGAAAAGAGCACUCAAGAGGGAAGCUGA
rnacentral:lncRNA from 1 species